ensembl:lncRNA
GUGAAGGUGACAAGCCCCAACCCUGAGGAGCUCACGGUGCAGAAUGAUGAGGACACCCACACGCGGAUCAGUGAAUACAGGGCUCUAAUGCCAGGGACCCCACAGCGAGGACAGCUGCUUAGCCCAAGGCAAGACAGACAAGGCUUCGAGCUGGGUGCUGAUGCUGAGUAGGAGUUCACCACCAGGCCGAAAGAGGGGGUCAAUUCCUGAUUUUACAGCCAAGAUUCUGCAGCUGUGAGGUUACGUGACAUUGUUAAGGUCUCCCAAGUGCCACCAGCAGGGGCUGCAACAGGAAGCCGGACAGUCCAGCCCCAGAGCCCGGGUUCCUCACUCCAACUCUCAACACCCCCUGCAGUUUUCUGUUCAAGCCCCACAAUCAUGGCAAGAGGAGGAAAGAGACUCCAGAUGUGGCUGGAUUUUCUGGCUCCAGGACCCCGGGCUUGACUCCCCUUCUCCUUCCACAAGUGCCCAGAACCCAGGAGGAUGAAGCAGGGUCUGCUGGCUCAGGAAGCACUGCUGUGGCCGCGCAGGCUGGCCUCCUCCAGUCGCAGGAGAGGCUGCCCCAACCGACAGGCUCCCAGGGCUGGACAGGACCGGAUGGGACUCUGGACUUGUCAAGGUCACCAGCGUUCUUGGCUAGGGCGGAAACUUGGGAAAUGAAACCAGCCGUCACCUCGCUGCAACCCGGCCACAGAUUUCCAACGGCCAUGCCAGGCGGGCCUCACCCCUGCCACAGUCUAAGGCCUCUGCCCUCCUCCCUGGGGCCCAGGGGAGCACCGCCAACCUUGCCCCCAGACCCAGUCCAGCGCUGAGACAUGCUCGGAGUAAAGCUGAUGAGAAAGCAGAGGGUUUCUAGCCAACGCCCUGGGAAGCCUGCCAUCGGGAAGCUGACGGUCUCACCGCCUUCUGGAGCAGACGUGGGGCUCACCUCUCCAGCGGGCUUUCCGCAUACUUGGAGGGGUGAGGGGAGGUACUCCAG